AAAGGUUACCUCACCGACUUCGGGUGUUACCAACUCUCGUGGUGUGACGGGCGGUGUGUACAAGGCCCGGGAACGUAUUCACCGCGGCAUGCUGAUCCGCGAUUACUAGCGAUUCCGGCUUCAUGCAGGCGAGUUGCAGCCUGCAAUCCGAACUGAGAAUGGUUUUAUGGGAUUUGCUUGACCUCGCGGUUUUGCUUCCCUUUGUUCCAUCCAUUGUAGCACGUGUGUAGCCCAGGUCAUAAGGGGCAUGAUGAUUUGACGUCAUCCCCACCUUCCUCCGGUUUGUCACCGGCAGUCACCUUAGAGUGCCCAACUAAAUGCUGGCAACUAAGAUCAAGGGUUGCGCUCGUUGCGGGACUUAACCCAACAUCUCACGACACGAGCUGACGACAACCAUGCACCACCUGUCACUCUGUCCCCGAAGGGAACUCGGUAUCUCUACCGAUUGCAGAGGAUGUCAAGACCUGGUAAGGUUCUUCGCGUUGCGUCGAAUUAAACCACAUGCUCCACCGCUUGUGCGGGCCCCCGUCAAUUCUUUUGAGUUUCAGCCUUGCGGCCGUACUCCCCAGGCGGAGUGCUUAAUGCGUUAACUUCAGCACUAAGGGGCGGAAACCCCCUAACACCUAGCACUCAUCGUUUACGGCGUGGACUACCAGGGUAUCUAAUCCUGUUCGCUCCCCACGCUUUCGCGCCUCAGCGUCAGUUACAGACCAGAGAGUCGCCUUCGCCACUGGUGUUCCUCCACAUCUCUACGCAUUUCACCGCUACACGUGGAAUUCCACUCUCCUCUUCUGUACUCAAGUCCUCCAGUUUCCAAUGACCCUCCACGGUUGAGCCGUGGGCUUUCACAUCAGACUUAAAGGACCGCCUGCGCGCGCUUUACGCCCAAUAAUUCCGG
rnacentral:rRNA from 1 species